UACGAAGGGGGCUAGCGUUGCUCGGAAUCACUGGGCGUAAAGCGCACGUAGGCGGCCUUCUAAGUCUGGUGUGAAAGCCCGGGGCUCACCCCCGGAAGUGCAUUGGAUACUGGGAGGCUGGAGUACCGGAGAGGAGGGUGGAAUUCCUGGUGUAGCGGUGAAAUGCGUUGAUAUCAUCAGGAACACCGGUGGCGAAAGCGGCUUACUGGGUCUCUUCUGACGCUGAGAUACGAAAGCUAGGGGAGCGAAGGGG
rnacentral:rRNA from 1 species